rnacentral:lncRNA from 1 species
GGGGUAUAGGACACAUCGUAUAAGUUCUAUUACCUUUCUGUUUGUGAUAUUUUUUAUUAAACUGGUAAUAUUUUAUCUUUUCGUAAUAUGUGCACUUUGGCAUGUCAAUUAGCAUUGUCCCUUGGUGCCUCUUGCAGUUGUGUCACUUUAAAUAGUACUGACUCAUCUGCACCAGGCACGAGGAUGACAUACCAGUUAUGUGCAACUUCUUACAAUAUCUUACCAUAUCAUUAGUGUCCCGAUACACAUUUCAAUAUGCACCCCC